CAGUAGCCACGGGAAUACGGAGGGUGCAAGCGUUAUCCGGAUUUAUUGGGUUUAAAGGGUCCGUAGGCGGACUUAUAAGUCAGUGGUGAAAGCCUGUCGCUUAACGAUAGAACUGCCAUUGAUACUGUAAGUCUUGAGUAUAUUUGAGGUAGCUGGAAUAAGUAGUGUAGCGGUGAAAUGCAUAGAUAUUACUUAGAACACCAAUUGCGAAGGCAGGUUACCAAGAUAUAACUGACGCUGAGGGACGAAAGCGUGGGUAGCGAACAGGAUUAGAGACCCCGGUAGUCCCUGUCUCUUAUAA
rnacentral:rRNA from 1 species